rnacentral:rRNA from 1 species
GGCUGUAAACCUCUUUUCUCAAGGAAGAAGAUCUGACGGUACUUGAGGAAUAAGCCACGGCUAAUUCCGUGCCAGCAGCCGCGGUAAUACGGGAGUGGCAAGCGUUAUCCGGAAUUAUUGGGCGUAAAGCGUCCGCAGGCGGCCUUGUAAGUCUGCUGUCAAAGAGUGGAGCUCAACUCCAUUUCGGCAGUGGAAACUGCGAGGCUUGAGUGUGGUAGGGGCAGAGGGAAUUCCCGGUGUAGCGGUGAAAUGCGUAGAUAUCGGGAAGAACACCAGUGGCGAAGGCGCUCUGCUGGGCCAUAACUGACGCUCAUGGACGAAAGCCAGGGGAGCGAAAGGGAU